GAUGAACGCUGGCGGCGUGCCUAAUACAUGCAAGUCGAGCGAACAGACGAGGAGCUUGCUCCUCUGACGUUAGCGGCGGACGGGUGAGUAACACGUGGAUAACCUACCUAUAAGACUGGGAUAACUUCGGGAAACCGGAGCUAAUACCGGAUAAUAUAUUGAACCGCAUGGUUCAAUAGUGAAAGACGGUUUUGCUGUCACUUAUAGAUGGAUCCGCGCCGCAUUAGCUAGUUGGUAAGGUAACGGCUUACCAAGGCAACGAUGCGUAGCCGACCUGAGAGGGUGAUCCGCCACACUGGCACUGAGACACGGUCCAGACUCCUACGGGAGGCAGCAGUACGGACUCUUCCGCAAUGGGCGAAAGCCUGACGGAGCAACGCCGCGUGAGUGAUGAAGGUCUUCGGAUCGUAAAACUCUGUUAUUAGGGAAGAACAAAUGUGUAAGUAACUAUGCACGUCUUGACGGUACCUAAUCAGAAAGCCACGGCUAACUACGUG
rnacentral:rRNA from 1 species